rnacentral:misc_RNA from 1 species
UACGUAGGUUGCAAUCGUUGUCCGGAAUCAUUGGUUGGAAAGCGCGCGCAGGCGGUUCCUUAAGUCUGAUGUGAAAGCCCACGGCUCAACCGUGGAGGGUCAUUGGAAAACGGGGAACUUGAGUACAGAAGAGGAGAGCGGAAUUCCACGUGUAGCGGUGAAAUGCGUAGAUAUGUGGAGGAACACCAGUGGCGAAGGCGGCUCUCUGGUCUGUUACUGACGCUGAGGUGCGAAAGCGUGGGGAGCGAACAGG